rnacentral:rRNA from 1 species
UACGGAGGAUGCGAGCGUUAUCCGGAUUUAUUGGGUUUAAAGGGUGCGUAGGCGGACUGUCAAGUCAGCGGUAAAAUUGAGAGGCUCAACCUCUUCCCGCCGUUGAAACUGGUGGUCUUGAGUGGAUGAGAAGUACGCGGAAUGCGCGGUGUAGCGGUGAAAUGCAUAGAUAUCACGCAGAACUCCGAUUGCGAAGGCAGCGUACCGGCAUCCAACUGACGCUGAGGCACGAAAGCGUGGGGAUCAAACAGG